rnacentral:rRNA from 1 species
GGGACACGUGGUAUCCUGUCUGAAUAUGGGGGGACCAUCCUCCAAGGCUAAAUACUCCUGACUGACCGAUAGUGAACCAGUACCGUGAGGGAAAGGCGAAAAGAACCCCGGCGAGGGGAGUGAAAAAGAACCUGAAACCGUGUACGUACAAGCAGUGGGAGCACGCUUAGGCGUGUGACUGCGUACCUUUUGUAUAAUGGGUCAGCGACUUAUAUUCUGUAGCAAGGUUAACCGAAUAGGGGAGCCGAAGGGAAACCGAGUCUUAACUGGGCGUUAAGUUGCAGGGUAUAGACCCGAAACCCGGUGAUCUAGCCAUGGGCAGGUUGAAGGUUGGGUAACACUAACUGGAGGACCGAACCGACUAAUGUUGAAAAAUUAGCGGAUGACUUGUGGCUGGGGGUGAAAGGCCAAUCAAACCGGGAGAUAGCUGGUUCUCCCCGAAAGCUAUUUAGGUAGCGCCUCGUGAAUUCAUCUCCGGGGGUAGAGCACUGUUUCGGCAAGGGGGUCAUCCCGACUUACCAACCCGAUGCAAACUGCGAAUACCGGAGAAUGUUAUCACGGGAGACACACGGCGGGUGCUAACGUCCGUCGUGAAGAGGGAAACAACCCAGACCGCCAGCUAAGGUCCCAAAGUCAUGGUUAAGUGGGAAACGAUGUGGGAAGGCCCAGACAGCCAGGAUGUUGGCUUAGAAGCAGCCAUCAUUUAAAGAAAGCGUAAUAGCUCACUGGUCGAGUCGGCCUGCGCGGAAGAUGUAACGGGGCUAAACCAUGCACCGAAGCUGCGGCAGCGACGCUUAUGCGUUGUUGGGUAGGGGAGCGUUCUGUAAGCCUGUGAAGGUGUGCUGUGAGGCAUGCUGGAGGUAUCAGAAGUGCGAAUGCUGACAUAAGUAACGAUAAAGCGGGUGAAAAGCCCGCUCGCCGGAAGACCAAGGGUUCCUGUCCAACGUUAAUCGGGGCAGGGUGAGUCGACCCCUAAGGCGAGGCCGAAAGGCGUAGUCGAUGGGAAACAGGUUAAUAUUCCUGUACUUGGUGUUACUGCGAAGGGGGGACGGAGAAGGCUAUGUUGGCCGGGCGACGGUUGUCCCGGUUUAAGCGUGUAGGCUGGUUUUCCAGGCAAAUCCGGAAAAUCAAGGCUGAGGCGUGAUGACGAGGCACUACGGUGCUGAAGCAACAAAUGCCCUGCUUCCAGGAAAAGCCUCUAAGCAUCAGGUAACAUCAAAUCGUACCCCAAACCGACACAGGUGGUCAGGUAGAGAAUACCAAGGCGCUUGAGAGAACUCGGGUGAAGGAACUAGGCAAAAUGGUGCCGUAACUUCGGGAGAAGGCACGCUGAUAUGUAGGUGAAGCGACUUGCUCGUGGAGCUGAAAUCAGUCGAAGAUACCAGCUGGCUGCAACUGUUUAUUAAAAACACAGCACUGUGCAAACACGAAAGUGGACGUAUACGGUGUGACGCCUGCCCGGUGCCGGAAGGUUAAUUGAUGGGGUCAGCGCAAGCGAAGCUCUUGAUCGAAGCCCCGGUAAACGGCGGCCGUAACUAUAACGGUCCUAAGGUAGCGAAAUUCCUUGUCGGGUAAGUUCCGACCUGCACGAAUGGCGUAAUGAUGGCCAGGCUGUCUCCACCCGAGACUCAGUGAAAUUGAACUCGCUGUGAAGAUGCAGUGUACCCGCGGCAAGACGGAAAGACCCCGUGAACCUUUACUAUAGCUUGACACUGAACAUUGAGCCUUGAUGUGUAGGAUAGGUGGGAGGCUUAGAAGUGUGGACGCCAGUCUGCAUGGAGCCGACCUUGAAAUACCACCCUUUAAUGUUUGAUGUUCUAACGUUGACCCGUAAUCCGGGUUGCGGACAGUGUCUGGUGGGUAGUUUGACUGGGGCGGUCUCCUCCUAAAGAGUAACGGAGGAGCACGAAGGUUGGCUAAUCCUGGUCGGACAUCAGGAGGUUAGUGCAAUGGCAUAAGCCAGCUUGACUGCGAGCGUGACGGCGCGAGCAGGUGCGAAAGCAGGUCAUAGUGAUCCGGUGGUUCUGAAUGGAAGGGCCAUCGCUCAACGGAUAAAAGGUACUCCGGGGAUAACAGGCUGAUACCGCCCAAGAGUUCAUAUCGACGGCGGUGUUUGGCACCUCGAUGUCGGCUCAUCACAUCCUGGGGCUGAAGUAGGUCCCAAGGGUAUGGCUGUUCGCCAUUUAAAGUGGUACGCGAGCUGGGUUUAGAACGUCGUGAGACAGUUCGGUCCCUAUCUGCCGUGGGCGCUGGAGAACUGAGGGGGGCUGCUCCUAGUACGAGAGGACCGGAGUGGACGCAUCACUGGUGUUCGGGUUGUCAUGCCAAUGGCACUGCCCGGUAGCUAAAUGCGGAAGAGAUAAGUGCUGAAAGCAUCUAAGCACGAAACUUGCCCCGAGAUGAGUUCUCCCUGACUCCUUGAGA